UCCGAAGUCACAAGUAGGCAAAGCUGGCCUU
rnacentral:piRNA from 1 species